ensembl:ncRNA lncRNA:CR44576 long non-coding RNA:CR44576
GACAAACUAAGUUAAUGAAAUAGAGGCCGUGAAAGACUGAGCCGCAAAAAAGUCGAGCGAAAAGCGAGAAUUUUCACACUAUAAUACGUAGUGGAAGUGUACAUAUGUGUUUUUGCGAAAGUCGGUUUAUUUUAGUGGUGGGGGUCGGCUCGACUCGACAUUUCGCUGAACUGGGCGGCCUCCCGGGUGCCUUUUGUUUGAUGGCGUCAAGGCGGAAACGUGCCCACGAGAAUGCAGGGAUAAACUAAAUAUACGCUGCAAAUUUAUUGUGCGGAAAAUAUUCCUGCGUUUCGCAUUCAGGACGCUGUAUGAAUGUCUCGGCGCUGCACGACUCACAGAAAAAAAAAAAAAUAAAAUAAAAAAAAACUCGUUGACCUUUAUGACUUUACCAUACAAAGAGAUUUUCUCGCAUUUUCAUGGCUAAAGUCUGAAAAUUAAAUUUAAUUACGGAAAGUGGUAUGGGUAACCCCAAGCCUCAGAACCU